GCGAUCGUGGCGAAGUGGUUAACGCACCGGAUUGUGGUUCCGGCACGCGUGGGUUCGAUCCCCACCGGUCGCCCCA
rnacentral:tRNA from 1 species